GUGCACUUUUAUUAGAGAAGAUGCUUCCAGGUGCAGAACUCAAAACCCACUUCCAGAAUCUCGACUCCAUGGAUCGGCUUCUUCGUUUUCUCAUCUUUAUCUCCCUCAUCUUCACCCUUACCAUUUCCACUUCUGUACAAGCUAGCAACGCCGCAACCAAUUGCACUACUAUUGACUGUGGCAAGAAUUUCGAGUUGACAAGGACACCUAAUGAUGUAUGUGAAUCAUGUGAAAGCACCCAUGGAGUCUGUGCAACUAACAGCCAUGGUGAUUUCGUUUGCCUUUGUAAUGGAGCGAAGCAUCGGUAUCACUGUAAUGGUCCAACUUAGUAUUAUAGGGUUCUUGCAAGUUACUUCUGAACCCUGCAUGUCACAUGCAUGGAUAUAUUUAGAAGGUCCUGUUGUGUUUUAAUAGAGGUGCAUUGGGUAAUGGGUUCAUGUGUCCAUGCACUCUCCUUAAAGUAUGUACACAAUGGGUGAUUAAUUAAUCGAUACUGGUAGGGCUUCUAUUGUGUUAA